AAAUUUCAAUAUUAGCAAAAUAAUGCAUAAGAUUUAGAAUCUUAAAUUAUCUUA
rnacentral:tRNA from 1 species